rnacentral:rRNA from 1 species
UACGGAGGAGGCAAGCGUUAUCCGGAAUUAUUGGGCGUAAAGCGCGCGUAGGUGGCCAUGUAAGUCCGCUGUGAAAGUCGAAGGCUCAACCUUCGAAAGCCGGUGGAUACUGCAUGGCUAGAGUACGGAAGAGGCGAGUGGAAUUCCUGGUGUAGCGGUGGAAUGCGCAGAUAUCAGGAGGAACACCAAUUGCGAAGGCAGCUCGCUGGGACGUAACUGACGCUGAGGAACGAAAGCCAGGGUAGCGAACGGG